GUGAGCGAUCUGCAGUUUCGGGCUUAAAGCCUGAGGAAGCUCUAUCCAUGCAACUGGAACUGGGUUCAGGAGAGAUCCUCUGAUAAGGGAACAGAAACGAAACCUCUGAUACAGAGUGAUAAUGAUUCUGAAAAAGAUGAAGACUGUAUCAGGAAGGAUGAAACGGCCCUUUCCCCAGGCAUGCAAGACCAAACUAAGUCGAUGAGUUCCAGUUUGAGACAAAGGUAGGUCGCUUAGUCAAAUACUGCAAGUACAGAAGAUAGGCUAUAGAUCGCUCAC
rnacentral:RNase_P_RNA from 3 species